UUGCACCACUAGGGGAGCCUUUUGAAAGGCUGAGAUGUAUAUGUACUAUGCAGACCCUUUGAACCUGAUCUAGCUCACACUAGCGUAGGGAAGUGGCGACAUUGAUUG
rnacentral:ncRNA from 2 species